GAUGAACGCUGGCGGCGUGCCUAAUACAUGCAAGUCGAGCGAACGGACGAGAAGCUUGCUUCUCUGAUGUUAGCGGCGGACGGGUGAGUAACACGUGGAUACCCUACCUAUAAGACUGGGAUAACUUCGGGAAACCGGAGCUCAUACCGGAUGAUAUUUUGAACCGCAUGGUUCAAAAGUGAAAGCCGGUCUUGCUGUCACUUAUAGAUGGAUCCGCGCUGGAUUAGCUAGUUGGUAAGGUAACGGCUUACCAAGGCAACGAUGCAUAGCCGACCUGAGAGGGUGAUCGGCCACACUGGAACUGAGACACGGUCCAGACUCCUACGGGAGGCAGCAGUAGGGAAUCUUCCGCAAUGGGCGAAAGCCUGACGGAGCAACGCCGCGUGAGUGAUGAAGGUCUUCGGGUCGUAAACCUCUGUUAUUAGGGAAGAAAAGAUGUGGAAGAAACUGUGCACAUCUUGACGGUACCUUAUGAGAAAGCAACGGCUAACUACGUG
rnacentral:rRNA from 1 species